rnacentral:rRNA from 2 species
CUGCAAGUCGAGCGAACUGAUUAGAAGCUUGCUUCUAUGACGUUAGCGGCGGACGGGUGAGUAACACGUGGGCAACCUGCCUGUAAGACUGGGAUAACUUCGGGAAACCGAAGCUAAUACCGGAUAGGAUCUUCUCCUUCAUGGGAGAUGAUUGAAAGAUGGUUUCGGCUAUCACUUACAGAUGGGCCCGCGGUGCAUUAGCUAGUUGGUGAGGUAACGGCUCACCAAGGCAACGAUGCAUAGCCGACCUGAGAGGGUGAUCGGCCACACUGGGACUGAGACACGGCCCAGACUCCUACGGGAGGCAGCAGUAGGGAAUCUUCCGCAAUGGACGAAAGUCUGACGGAGCAACGCCGCGUGAGUGAUGAAGGCUUUCGGGUCGUAAAACUCUGUUGUUAGGGAAGAACAAGUACGAGAGUAACUGCUCGUACCUUGACGGUACCUAACCAGAAAGCCACGGCUAACUACGUGCCAGCAGCCGCGGUAAUACGUAGGUGGCAAGCGUUAUCCGGAAUUAUUGGGCGUAAAGCGCGCGCAGGCGGUUUCUUAAGUCUGAUGUGAAAGCCCACGGCUCAACCGUGGAGGGUCAUUGGAAACUGGGGAACUUGAGUGCAGAAGAGAAAAGCGGAAUUCCACGUGUAGCGGUGAAAUGCGUAGAGAUGUGGAGGAACACCAGUGGCGAAGGCGGCUUUUUGGUCUGUAACUGACGCUGAGGCGCGAAAGCGUGGGGAGCAAACAGGAUUAUAUACCCUGGUGGUCCACGCCGUAAACGAUGAGUGCUAGUGUUAGAGGGAUUCCGCCCUUUAGUGCUGACCUAACGCAUAAAAACUCCGCUGGCGAGUACGGUCGCAUGACUGAAAUUCAAAGGAAAUGACGAGAGCCGCGCAGCGGGGUUCAGGUGGUUUUAUUUCAAACACCAGAACACCCUCACCUGUCUCGACUCCAGUGACAUUG